AUUAGUGUCGUCUGCCGGUCUGCGUUCAUUUUGUUUACAAGUUUCAGAUUCAGACGCAAAUUCAAGAUAACAAAGACAAUUAAACAUUUUUAUUUUGGAAACGAACGUGGCUGCACGAAAAAUGGCACAACAAAUAUAAUUAUAAAACUGUUGUCGCCGUAUCAACCUUGGUGUCGUCGCUUUCCAUGCUCUCCACUGUCCACUCCAUGGCCAUGCUGUUUGGCAGGCUUGAGCCAGCCAUUGUAACCUCAAGAUAGGCCAGGUUUGCUUGUGCUGGUAUCAUCAUCACCAGCAGUCUCAAGUUAUUAUCGCCAGGAUGAUUUUCGUUACUUUUAUUCCUCUGACCUGCUUGAUAUCUCAAUGAUGCAAAACUUGCACAAAUAAACAGCAUCCCUCUUUUUUGGAGAAAUUACCAAUGUUGGCCGAGUUAGGGAUCUCUUCUUCCUCUUAAAUCCCCUCUGCCCUCGUGUACAUGCAUGUGGGUGUAGGUGCAUUCACGAGGAGUGGCGUAUUCAACUUUACUGCGAAUGGAACACUUACAGUAAAUGGCCUGGCUGGAUUUCCCAGGCUUUAAGGUAAUUCUUGGUUUUUAACUAUUGGGUGACGUUGAACAUGGUACGAUUAUUCCCGAGCUAGGCGAUUGACUGCAACUGUUUGAGCCCUUGCCGUUUUUGUUGAU